CACGUAGGAAUCGAGCGUUAUCCGAAUUUACUGGGCGUAAAGCGCGUGCAGGCGGUCUGAUAAGUUGGAUGUGAAAGCUCCUGGCUCAACUAGGAGAGGCCGUUCAAGACUGUCAGACUUGAGGAUGGUAGAGGAAGGUAGAAUUCCCGGUGUAGUAGUGAAAUGCGUAGAUAUCGGGAGGAAUACCAGUGGCGAAGGCGGCCUUCUGGACCAUUUCUGACGCUAAGACGCGAAAGCUAGGGGAGCGAAUGGG
rnacentral:rRNA from 1 species